rnacentral:rRNA from 1 species
GCCAGCAGCCGCGGUAAUACGGAGGGAGCUAGCGUUGUUCGGAAUUACUGGGCGUAAAGCGUACGUAGGCGGUUAUUCAAGUCAGGGGUGAAAGCCUGGAGCUCAACUCCAGAACUGCCCUUGAAACUAGAUAACUAGAAUCUUGGAGAGGUGAGUGGAAUUCCGAGUGUAGAGGUGAAAUUCGUAGAUAUUCGGAAGAACACCAGUGGCGAAGGCGACUCACUGGACAAGUAUUGACGCUGAGGUACGAAAGCGUGGGGGAGCAAACAGGAUUAGAUACCCUGGUAGUCCACGCCGUAAACGAUGAUAACUAGCUGUUCGGCUCUACGAGCUUGAGUGGCGCAGCUAACGCAUUAAGUUAUCCGCCUGGGGAGUACGGUCGCAAGAUUAAAACUCAAAGGAAUUGACGGGGGCCUGCACAAGCGGUGGAGCAUGUGGUUUAAUUCGAAGCAACGCGCAGAACCUUACCAGCGUUUGACAUCCUGAUCGCGGAUAGUGG